rnacentral:rRNA from 1 species
ACCAUGGAAGUCUGCAAUGCCGAAGCCGGUGGCCUAACCACUUAUGUGGAAGGAGCCGUCUAAGGCAGGGCAGAUGACUGGGGUGAAGUCGUAACAAGGUAAC